UACGGGGGGGGUAAGCGUUGUUCGGAAUUACUGGGCGUAAAGGGCUCGUAGGCGGCCAACUAAGUCAGACGUGAAAUCCCUCAGCUUAACUGGGGAACUGCGUCUGAUACUGGAUGGCUUGGAUUCGGGAGAGGAAUGCGGAAUUCCAGGUGUAGCGGUGAAAUGCGUAGAUAUCUGGAGGAACACCGGUGGCGAAGGCGGCAUUCUGGACCGAUAUUGACGCUGAGGCACGAAGGCGUGGGGAUCGAACAGG
rnacentral:rRNA from 1 species